GCCGACGGCACCGAGUCCCAGCAAACCUUGCCGCGGAGCGCCUAUCUUCUUUCCCCCGCCGAGGACCCCGGACUUCAGACACACCGCUGCCGCCGCGGCUGGACAGCUGGAACCUUUUCCCCCCUCCAACAGAUUUUAGACUACUGGAAAAGAAACGCCUCACAUCAACAACAACAUAGGACCACUAGGGUAAGUCUACAAAAAACCUCUCAAACACCUCAAAAUUACUCUAAAUAGUUAGUUUUGUUUUUGAACUUGAGUUUGUGUCGUGUUUGAAGUUUGUGACAACUUAUGAACUUGAGUUUGUUUCGCUUGAUUUUUUGGCAAUUGUUGAACUUGAGUCUUUGGUUUUUAGUGAACUUGAGUUUGUGGCGUUUGUUGAACUUGAGUUUGUGGCGUUUGUUGAACUUGAGUUUGUGGCGUUUGUUGAACUUGAGUUUGUGAAGUGUUUGAACUUGAGUUUGUGUUUUUUUUAACUUGAGGUUGUGGCAAUUGUUAAACUUGAGAAUCAGGUGUUGGUUGAACUUGAGUUUGUGGUGUUCAUUGAACUUGAGUUUGUGGAAUAUUUGAACUUCAGUUUAUUAUGUUUUUUGAACUUGAGGUUCUGGUGUUUUUGAACUUGAGUUUGUGUGUUUUUUGAACUUGAGGUUGUGGAAAUUGUUAAACUUGAGAAUCGGGUGUUGCUUGAACUUGACUUGUUGUGUUUGUUGAACUUGAGUUUGUGUCGUUUUAGAACUUCAGUUUGUGUGGUGUUUUUGAAGUUGAGUUUGUGGCGUUUGUUGAACUUGAGUUUGUGGCGUGUUUGAACUUGAGUUUGUGUUGUUUUUUGAACUUGAGGUUGUGGAAAUUGUUAAACCUGAGAAUCGGGUGUUGGUUGAACUUGAAACUGUGACAUUUGUUGAACUUGAGUUUGUGGUGUUUGUUGAACUUGAGUUUGUAUCGUGUUUGAAAUUGAGUUUGUGGUGUUUUUGAACUUGAGUUUGUGUGUUUUUUGAAUUUGAGUUUGUGGUGUUUUUGAACUUCAUUUUGUGGCACUUUUUUAACUUGAGUUUGUUGAAUUUGAGUUUUUGGCAAUUGUUUAAUGUGAAUAUAGGUCAUUUGUUGAAUUUGAAAUUUGGUCAUUUUUUGAACUUAGGCUUGUGGUGUUUGAUGAACUUGAGUUUGCCGCAAUUGUUAACCUUGAGUCUGUAUUUUUCUCUGAACUUUACUUGGUGGCAAUUGUUGAACAGAUUUUAGACUACUGGAAAAGAAACGCCUCACAUCAACAACAACAUAGGACCACUAGGGUAAGUCUACAAAAAACCUCUCAAACACCUCAAAAUUACUCUAAAUAGUUAGUUUUGUUUUUGAACUUGAGUUUGUGUCGUGUUUCAAGUUUGUGACAACUUAUGAACUUGAGUUUGUUUCGCUUGAUUUUUUGGCAAUUGUUGAACUUGAGUCUUUGGUUUUUAGUGAACUUGAGUUUGUGGUGUUUGUUGUACUUGAGUUUGUGGCGUGUUUGAACUUGAGUUUCUGUUGGUUUUGAACUUGAGGUUGUGGAAAUUGUCAAACUUGAGAAUUGGGUAUUGGCUGUACCUGAGUUUGUGAAUCGUGUUUGAACUUGAGUUUGUGGUGUUUUUGAUCUUGAGCUUUUGUGUUUUUUGAACUGAAGUUUGUGGCAAUUGUUAAACUUGUGACUUAGGUGUUGGUUGAACUUGAGUUUGUGGUGUUUUUGAACUUGAGGUUUUGGCAAAUGUUAAACUUGAUAUUUGGGUGUUGUUUGAACUUGAGUUUGUGUCGUGUUUGAACUUGAGUUUGUGUCAUGUUUGAACUUGAGUGUUGUGUUUGAACUUGAGUUUGUUGCAAUUUUUGAACUUGAGUUUGUGUUGUUUUUUAACUUGAGGUUUUGGCAAUUGUUAAUCUUUAGAUUUGGGCGUUGGUUGAACUUAAAACUUUGACAUUUGUUGAACUUGACUUUGUGGUGUUCAUUUAACUUGAGUUUGUGGUGUUUUUGAACUUGAAUUUUUGUGAUUUUUUUUAACUUGAGUUUGUGGUGUUUUUGAACUUGAAUUUGUGUGUUUUUUGAACUUGAGGUUGUUGCAAUUUUUGAACUUGAGUUUGUUGAACUUGAGUUUUUGGCAAUUGUUAAAUGUGAGUUUAGGUCAUUUGUUGAAUUUGAAAUUUUGGCAUUUUUUGAACUUAAGAUUGUGGUGUUUGUUGAACUUGAGUUUGUGGCAAUUGUUGAACUUGAGUCUGUAUUUUUCCCUGAACUUUAGUUUGAAUUUUUGUGUGUUUUUUGAAGUUAAGUUUGUGGCAAUUGUUAAACUUGAGAUUUGGGUGUUGGUUGAACUUGAGUUUGUGGUGUUUUUGAACUUGAGUUUGUGUGUUUGUUUAACUUGAGUUUGUGGCGUGUUUUGACUUGAGUUUCUGUUGUUUUUGAACUUGAGGUUGUGGCAAUUGUCAAACUUGAGAUUUGGGAUUUGGUUGAACUUGAGUUUGUGUCGUGUUUGAACUUUGGUUUGUGGUGCUUUUUAACUUGAGUUUGUGGCGGUGUUGAGCUUGACUUUGUGGCGUGUUUUAACCUGAAUUUUUGUUGUUUUUCUUACUUGAGGCUUCAGCAAUUGUUAAACUUUAGAUUUGGGUGUUGGUUGAACUUAAAACUUUGACAUUUGUUGAACUUAUGUAUGUGGUGUUCAUUGAACUUCAGUUUGUGUCUUGUUUGAACUUGACUUUGUGGUGUUUUUGAACUUGAGUUGGUGGUGUUUUUGAAUUUGAGUUUCUGUUGUUUUUGAACAUGAGGUUGUGGCAAUUUGUUAAACUUGAGAUUUGUGUGUUGGUUGAAAUUAAGUUUCGGCAUUUUUGAACUUGAGUUUGUGGUGUUUUUGAACUUGAAUUUGUGUGUUUUUUGAACCUGAGUUCGUUGAACUUGAGUUUUUGGCAAUUCUUUAAUGUUAAUAUAGGUUAUUUGUUGAAUUUGAAAUUUUGGCAUUUUUUGAACUUAAGCUUGUGGUCUUUGUUGAACUUGAGUUUGUGGCAAUUGUUAACAUUGAGUCUGUAUUUUUCUCUGAACAUUAGUUGGUGGCAAUUGUUGAACUUGAGUUUGUGUGUUUGUUGAACUUGAGUUUUUGUCGUUUAGAACUUGAGUUUGUGGUGUUUUUGAACUUGAGGUUUUGGCAAAUGUUAAACUUGAUAUUUGGGUGUUGUUUGAACUUGAGUUUGUGUCGUGUUUGAACUUGAGUUUGUGUCAUGUUUGAACUUGAGUGUUGUGUUUGAACUUGAGUUUGUUGCAAUUUUUGAACUUGAGUUUUGAACUUGAGUCUUUGGUUUUUAGUGAACUUUAUUUGGUGGCAAUUGUUAAACUUGAGUUUGUCGCGUGUUUGAACUUGAGUUUGUGUUGUUUUUUAACUUGAGGUUUUGGCAAUUGUUAAUCUUUAGAUUUGGGUGUUGGUUGAACUUUGACAUUUGUUGAACUUGACUUUGUGGUGUUCAUUUAACUUGAGUUUGUGGUGUUUUUGAAUUUGAAAUUUUGGCAUUUUUUGAACUUAAGAUUGUGGUGUUUGUUGAACUUGAGUUUGUGGCAAUUGUUGAACUUGAGUCUGUAUUUUUCCCUGAACUUUAGUUUGAAUUUUUGUGUGUUUUUUGAAGUUAAGUUUGUGGCAAUUGUUAAACUUGAGAUUUGGGUGUUGGUUGAACUUGAGUUUGUGGUGUUUUUGAACUUGAGUUUGUGUGUUUGUUUAACUUGAGUUUGUGGCGUGUUUUGACUUGAGUUUCUGUUGUUUUUGAACUUGAGGUUGUGGCAAUUGUCAAACUUGAGAUUUGGGAUUUGGUUGAACUUGAGUUUGUGUCGUGAUUGAACUUUGGUUUGUGGUGCUUUUUAACUUGAGUUUGUGGCGGUGUUGAGCUUGACUUUGUGGCGUGUUUUAACCUGAAUUUUUGUUGUUUUUCUUACUUGAGGCUUCAGCAAUUGUUAAACUUUAGAUUUGGGUGUUGGUUGAACUUAAAACUUUGACAUUUGUUGAACUUAUGUAUGUGGUGUUCAUUUAACUUCAGUUUGUGUCUUGUUUGAACUUGACUUUGUGGUGUUUUUGAUCUUGAGUUGGUGGUGUUUUUGAACUUGAGUUGGUGGAAAUUGUUGAACUUGAGAAUUGGGUGUUGGUUGAACUUGAGUUUGUGGUGUUUUUGAACUUGAGUUUGAGUUUGUUUGUUUGUUGAACUUGAGUUCGUGGCGUGUUUGAACUUGAGUUUGUGUUCUUUUUGAACUUGAGGUUGUGAAAAUUGUUAAACUCGCCCUCCUUGAGCCAUCAUGAAGGCGGAGGUGGCGGGGGUAGAGCAGCAAUGAACAAACCCCCCCUGGAACAGGAGCGCUUUAAGGACAGCGGAGCAAUUAGCUGGCACGAGGGUGGAGCUGGUGUGGCAGUGUGUUGCUGGUUUGCUGUCAGAGCAGAGGAAGAGGCUGGGCUAGUGCAGUUUUAAAUAAGGCACUCUAUAGGCAAAGAACCAAUAGGAUCUAGGUGUGAAUCAGCUGAUUAUCAUCUGGUUGAGGUGGCUACUAGCCAUUGGCUGUGGAUCAGCGCUUGACGUUGUGUCCUGACAGAACUAACGCUAUGCUUCAUUUCAGUCAGGUACACUUUGUCCAAAUUUUUAGCUUUAUUGUGCAAGUUAGAUUUGGCGGCAUGAUUCUGUUCCGGGUCCCUGCCCUUCCACGCGCUUGUGUGGAAGCCCAAGGCAGGAAGAGCCCCUUCCUGCCUUUCACGAGCCAUCAUGAAAGGCGAUAGCAGGGAGCGCACGCGAGGUUCUGUUCAGGGCCCCCGUUCUCCACGUUGGCAGGGGUGAAAGGCCAGCGGCAGGAAGAGCAUCUUCCCGCCCUCCACGUGCCAUCAUGAAGGCGGAGGAGGCAGGGGUAGAGCAGCAAUGAACAGAACCCCCCCAAAACAACCAUGCCGUGCAGUCUAGGAGCUAGCAGGGGAGGUGAGCGCUGCUGAAAGAAAGACGGGUUAGAGAGACCCGUUGCCCAAGCAUGGAUAUUUAUCUGCAGGUUGUUUAUAUAUUACAUUUAAUUAGCAUCUAUGUGCCAAAGUUAUGGGUACUCAUAGUUUUUGGGCUUCGAGAAUGUCCCGAGCCUCGGGGCGCAGAUAGCGUUUGUACGCAGCUGACGACUAUUGGCCCAUGGCUUUGAGGGUCGACACAGGAGCCGUCAUAGCUGCGGUUGUAGCUGCACCUAUGUGAAAGGAAUGAGCCGUGUAGCGAUCUGAAGGAUGUGUGGAGGGCGAUCAGCUAAGCUGUCAUCUGACUGAGGGCUAGCUUAAGAUCAGCUGGCUUUAACCUUUAGCUUGACUGUACCUUGUGUCCUGCCUGAACUACAGUCAUGCUUAAUUUCAGUCAGGACUACUUUAGUUAGAAUCAAUUAUUUAUUACUAGCAAAAAAUGUUUUAACAUUGUCGGUAUGGCUCUGUUCUGAGAGUUCCCUGCUCUCUCAUGCGCUUGCAUAGAAUCCCAAGGCAAUGAGAGGGAAUGCCCUCCCCUCCCUUUCAUGUGCAUAUAUGAAAAGCCAAGGCAGAAAAAGCAGCAGCCAUACUGGCAACCCUCCCCAGCUUUCAUGAGCUACAUGAAGGCACCUACGGGGGAGGGAGGGCAGCCAGCAGCGAGAAACUAUGAAGCAACCUACCCACCUACAAAGCUUGCAUAGUAUUGGUUACCCUCACAACAUGAUCAUGGAUCAGGAUUAAUUUAAUCCAUACACAAAUUUAUAGUUGGGAAUAUGCGUAAUGCAAUAGAUAUGGGAAAGAAUUAAGGAGCAGCAGCAAUUUUUUUUUUUUUGUAGCUAAUCGAGCAUAGGAAUAUUCUAAUAAUAAUAAUAAUAUUAGCCUUGGGCCUGAGGUAUCAUUCAAAGGCUGAUCGGGACCAUUGACCCGUAGCCUUGAGCGUCGAGACGGGGACGAUGGAAGAUGCAGUUGUAGCUGUGCCUAUGCGUGGUGAAUGCGUAGAGUUGUACUCAGGUAGGAGCCAACAGGAUUGGCAGAGCAGGCAGAGGUGAGCAGAAAGCUGCAAUCUGGAUAUAGGUUUCCCUUCUUCAGUGGCAAAGAGAGACUCUUGCUGGCUGGCCAGUGGCCGGCCUCUCAGGCAGCGGGACAUGGAGGAUAAAGAACAAAGACAGAGUUAGUUUUGGAAAUAUUAGAAAAAAAAAAAGUGCGAGAUUCAAAACUGUGGACUAUUAAAGCACAUACAAUGGAUAUAUUUAGGGCGUUGGGGCUACAGAGAAGGUGGUACAAAAGAGGUAAAGUGAGACCAUGCAGAAUCGUAUAAACUUUAAUGCUGAUUUUGCUUAACCAGCUCUCAAGUAGCUGUCCACAGAGAGCACUAAGGAUUGCAAGGCUGCACUCAGACUAACACAGUCUGAAUGAAUGGCUUCACGAACAGCCGUUGGGAUGCUUUGCCAGUGCCUUCCCCGGCUCAAGGACAUUUGACAGAGUAGACAGCUUUGUUCUUUCCCGUUUUACCAGGUGGGUGCGUCAUGGGCAUGCUGAUUUCAGAUGCCCGUCCCUGGAGUAACUUGGCUUCUCCGAGUAGUAGGCUUAGAGAGGCUUGGGUGGUUGGCCUGUAGCCACAGUUUUAGGGCACCGAUUAGAGGUGUGGGCAGGGGUGGACAAGGUAGGAUAAGGUUCCUCCAGGUACUGUACCCGUAGACUUUGUACAAGAGGAGCACACCCAAGUUAAGCGAGUUGCUGACUCCGAUGCCACAGUAUCAUCAUCUGCUGUAUCUCUCUCUUAAACAUAAAAUUAUUAUUAUUAUUAUUAUUAUUAUUAUUAUUAUUAUUAUUAUUAUUAUUAUUUUCCUCUGCAUUUUGUCUUAUUUCUGCAUUAAGAUUGAAGCAGCUAACUCUUUAAAAGUUCCCUCCUUCCGCAAAAGGCGGAAGGCGGGCCCCUGCACCUAGGCAACCAGCGUCCAAUCAAAAGUGCACACUGGUGCUCCCAUUUGGAGUUUAUUUGUAAGCAAAUACCACUCACUCUCAAGCGGCAUGGUCCUAUUGGAUUACUUCGGUUAUAACGCAGAGUGCAGACUGAUGUGCAGCAACAGACUAAGCCUAGAUACAUGACAGGGGUGAAAACUUUAAACAGCUGAUUAUGACUUCCCGAAAUGGCGUACUGCUGCGUAAUGGCUUACUUUCACCUCCAGGUGAGAGAAAGACCCGCAGAUUAAGCAGGAAAAAGCUUGAUGCUCGGUGAAUUGUUAACUGAUUAGAGCCAGGUCGACUACGGACUGAUCAAGUCUUUGGCUGAAUCUUUGAAUGUACUUAGCAGCUUUGCUGAAAAUGAUUUGUAAUGUUCCUAGAAUAAUGAUCCUCCCUAUGUCAUGGCUGAAUCAGAAAUAAUGGCGAGAUAUGUGUCCAGUUCAGUUCUGCGUGCUGAAAACAAUUUACAUAUGACAUCUACAAAUACGCUGAAAGCUAUGAAUUCAGCCAAGGUCGGAGAUUUAAACAGCCGGGCAUCACGAUAUUUAAGCAUCACAGGCUCAUCUCCGCAAUCCACAAUGCGUCUAUCAUUGUAGUCUGAGCACAGCAAGACUAAUGUCAGUACCUGCAAGGAUUUGGCUCCGCGGAUUAGGUGUAAUUGCAGCCGCGACCAGGUCGCGUCGCGUGGUGCUCUGGUGUGUUCACACCGGGUCCAAAGCUGCGGUCGCAGGACACGGCUGGUCGCUGCUGACCUGCUUCUCCUACCUUCCAUCUCCCUCCUUUUCUCCCUCAUAUAUACAUCCCGCAGCCCAGUUCAAAUAUUUGAACUUUGGGAGCGAUGAGACUUGGCGUCCUGCGACCUCGGCAACGCGACGCAGGUAGCCAGCGGUCGCCAAGUCGCGUCAGGUCGCGGCUGUCCAUAGACUUUGCAUUGGGAGCCAUUGCCGACGUCACCGAAGUAGCGUUUGGUCUGAACACCCCUUAACGCUAAGCUUCAUAUUUGGGUAUUGGUUGACUUGAGUUUCUGUGUUUGUUGAACUUGAGUUUGUGACAUGUUUGAACUUGAAUUUGUGGUGUUUUUGAACUUGAGUUUGUGUGUUUGUUGAACUUGAGUUUUAGGCGUGUUUGAACUUGAGUUUGUGUUGUUUUUGAACUUGAGGUUUUGGCAAAUGUUAAACUUGAGAUUUGGGUGUUGGUUGAACUUGAGUUUGUGUCGUAUUUGAACUUGAUUUUUUUGCAAUUUUUGAACUUGAGUUUGUUGAACUUGAGGUUGUGGAAAUUGUUAAACUUGAGAAUUGGGUAUUGAUUGAACUUGAGUUUGUGUGUUUGUUGAACUUCAGUUUGUCUCGUGUUUGAACUUGAGUUUCUGUUGUUUUUGAACUUGAGGUUGUGGCAAUUGUUAAACUUGAGAUUUGGGUGUUGGUUGUAAUGAGACAACUGCUUUCUGCUAUCCACCUUGAAUUCACCCCUCAAAGGAAUGCAGGCUCCCCUGGUUUGGACAGGAAAUGGGGGAGUAACGGUUUGCACACCAAGUUCCCAUUUACGACCCAAGCCAUUGGGGAGGUGAUAGUGAAUCUUUAAUGCUUCCCAAAAGGACAAGUUGCUUAUCAACCACACAGACCCAUAAACACGGAGCCUUUCUCCCUGGCUGGGAAAGAUCAGAAUUGACACUUCAGGAUUAACCAUUGACCUAAAAGGAAAACAAAGCAUUUGGCGCCAAGUCUGAAAAACCAGAUACCUGCCAUAAAAUCUCCAUGGCUUUCUUUACUGAGCAGAAGGAAGAGGAUGCCUGAAAAUUGUUUAACUUCAUGUUUAAUGGACAUGUCACCAGAAUUUUCUGUCUGCACACCACAUUCUUAAUGAAAUGGUCUUUUUCCCAAUUUUGUAGCAUAUCCACAAGCCAAACUGUUAACUUCACAAAUUUAUUCCAGGUUUUCCAUGGAUCAAGAGCUCCUCCUAGUGGUGAUGCCUGAAUAUGGUUUGAUCAGAGCCAAAUGGCAGGAAUCUAAUCACGUGUAUUUCUUUCCUUUUGUUAUACACUUCGUAGCUUAGUAAAUGGUAUUCCCAAGAUAGGCUAGUAGUUUAGAAGUAGUAACGUGAAACUCGUUUAGACUCAAGUUAAGAGUUUCUGAAUGUAUCCAUACUAUGUUUUGUCUACCUCACACAAAUAUAUAUUAAUCAUCUAGGAAGCUUGAUUGACAAAGGUUAUAGUGUUGUCAAAUAUUAUCACGUAUGUGUUUCUUAUGCUGGAUGGUGUUUCUGUUCAAAUAGAUAAUUUGUUUUCUGUCCCUCUCUAACUUUUAAAAGUCGUUAAUCCUCUGUUAGUGUCAAGAAGACGGCUGAUCAAAGUUUACUGUUUCAAUGUCAUGCUUUAAUGCGUCUGCUCAUAAGAAACAAUGAAGUGAAAUGUGAUCGUAUGUGAUGUUACAAACAGUUUAAUCAUAGUGAGUGAGUAAAUCAGAUCUAGCUCGCUUUUAAUAUCAAGUUGAGUUAAAUUCGCUGCCAGUCGAUGUGCUGCAUCGGGUUACAGCAUUGGCUGUAACUUUCCUCUUGGCUCACGCCCACACGGGAUGGUUUAAAAAGAGCCCGGGAGUCUUUGCUCUUUCUUCAGUUUUUCUCUUCCGUUUUUGUCUCGUCUGUGUUUAGUUCUCUCUUGUUUCGUUUCUUCUUCGUUUUUCUCUUCGUCUAUUGUUCGCAAUUUUCCCCGCGUUUUAUUAAUUGCCUUAAGCUCAGAUUUUUCUUCUAAACUUGGGUGAAACAUUCCCAAGUCCCUUUAAAGCCUCAGUAACAAGCUGCGCGCAUAAGAGAACCUCAGUCUAAGUCUUUUUAUUUUUGUUCGCUAAAGUGACUCCUGAAGAUAAUAUCGGCUGGCCAACGAAAUUAUUUUCUUAAGUUAUUGGCGCGAAUUAAUCUGCAACCAAGCUACUCCUGAACGCCGACCAGCAUCAUCUGCCAAGCUGCUUUGCCACCUGGUUCCGAGAGGCCCAGAGAUCUGAAGUAUCUAACGGCGCUGACACGGUCCUGAAGCUGAGAUCCAGACACGGCGGAAGAACUCCCCGCCGAACCUUCAGUAUCCGGUCCGGUAGCCACAGAACUUCAGCUGAUCCAUUCCAAGGGUGCCGCUGAGAACUGACGUCCAAAGUAGGCUAAAUCCUCGAAACUGCUGUGAUGAGAAUUGGGUGAUGCCGUCAACCGUUCAGUAGCUUACUCUCAUAAGUUAGAGUUUAGUUCUCCAAAUUCCUUUCAAUUUACCCUCGUAACUCCGUUAACGUAGGUUAAAUUUCCCCUUUAUUCACUCAAUAUUAUUAACCUCCAGUCUUAGGUUUAAUUUAAACCAUUCCUUCGUUUAUUCAUUAGAUGUGCUUUGAUUUGCUCAUUAUUUGCUCAUCAUUUAUUGACGUUUUGUUAUCAUAUAGCUUGUUAAUAAAUUGUCCAUUUAAUUUUAAGUUGUCGUCUUAGUGGUCUUUCAGAAAGUAGUCCCUGAAUGAAGAAUUCCGGCCUCAGAUGAGAGACUGAUUUAAAUCUGUUUAAGACUGAUCCAACGUUUAAUUACUCAAUUGAACUUUGUUUCAUCCUUUUCCCACCAGAAAGGUGGGUGGUGCCCCUUCAACGAGUGCAUAAAUGUCAUUAUUUAAUUUGAUUAAUUCUCGACAUUUAUUUUGAAUUUGAAAUCGCUACAUGGUUGAACUUGAGUUUGUGUCAUGUUUGAACUUGAGUUUGUGGUGUUUUUGAACUUGAGUAUGUGUGGUUUUUUAACUUAGUUUUGUGGCAAUUGUUAAACUUGAGAUUUGGGUGUUGGUUGAACUUGGGUUUGUGGUGUUUUUGAACAUGAGUUUGUGUCUUUGUUGAACUUGAGUUUGUGGCGUGUUUUAACUUGAGUUUCUGUUGUUUUUGAACUUGAGGUUGUGGCAAUUGUUGAACUUGAGAUUUGGGUGUUGGUUGAACUUGAGUUUGUGUCAUGUUUGAACUUGAGUUUGUGGUGUUUUUGAACUUGAGUAUGUGUGGUUUUUUAACUUAGUUUUGUGGCAAUUGUUAAACUUGAGAUUUGGGUGUUGGUUGAACUUGGGUUUGUGGUGUUUUUGAACAUGAGUUUGUGUCUUUGUUGAACUUGAGUUUGUGGCGUGUUUUAACUUGAGUUUCUGUUGUUUUUGAACUUGAGGUUGUGGCAAUUGUUGAACUUGAGAUUUGGGUGUUGGUUGAACUUGAGUUUGUGUCAUGUUUGAACUUGAGUUUGUGGUGUUUUUGAACUUAAGUUUGUGUGGUUUUUUACCUUAGUUUUGUGGCAAUUGUUAAACUUGAGAUUUGGGUGUUGGUUGAACUUGGGUUUGUGGUGUUUUUGAACUUGAGUUUGUGUCUUUGUUGAACUUGAGUUUGUGGCGUGUUUUAACUUGAGUUUCUGUUGUUUUUGAACUUGAAGUUGUGGAAAUUGUUGAACUUGAGAUUUGGGAUUUGGUUGAACUUGACUUUGUUUCAUGUUUGAACUUGAGUUUGGGGUGUUUUUGAACUUGAACUUGUGUGUUUUUUGAACUUGAGUUUGUGUUGUUAAGAACUUGAGUUUGUGGUGUUUUUGAAAUUGAGUUUGUGUGUUUGUUGAACUUGAGGUUGUGGCAAUUGUUAAACUUGAUAUUUGGGUGUUGGUUGAACUUCAAACUUUGGAAUUUGUUGAUCUUGAGUUUGUGGUGUUCGUUGAAUUCAGUUUCAGCAUUUUUUUAACUUGAGUUUGUGUGUUUUUGAACUUGAGUUUGUGGCAAUUUUUGAACUUGAGUUUGUUGAACUUGAGUUUUUGGCAAUUGUUAAAUGUGAGUUUAGGUCAUUUGUUGAACUUGAGUUUGUGGCAAUUGUUGAACUUGAGUCUGUAUUUUUCACUGAACUUUAGUUUGUAGCGUUUGUUGUACUUGAGUUUGUGGCGUUUGUUGUAAUUGAGUUUGUGUCUUGUUUGAACUUGAGUUGGGGGUGUUUUUGAACUUUAGGUUGUGGCAAUUGUUGAACUUGAGGAUUGUGUGUUUGUUGAACUUGAGUUUGUGGCGUGUUUGAACUUGAGUUUCUGUUGUUUUUGAACUUGAGGUUGUUGAAAUUGUUAAACUUGAGAUUUGGGUUUUGGUUGAACUUAAAACUUUUACAUCUGUUGAACUUGAGUUUGUGGGGUUUGUUGAACUUGAGCAUGUGUCGUGAUUGAACUUGAGUUUGAGGGGUUUGUUGAACUUGAGUUUGUUUCGUGUUUGAACUUGAGUUUGUGGUGUUUUUGAACUUGAGUCUGUGUUGCUUUUGAACUUGAGGUUGUGGAAAUUGUUAAACUUGAGAAUUGGGUAUUGGCUGAACUUGAGUUUUUGAACUUGAGUUUGUGUCAUGUUUGAACUUGAGUUUGUGUGUUUGAACUUGAGUUUCUGUUGUUUUUGAACUUGAGGUUGUGGCAAUUGUUAAACUUGAGAUUUGGGUGUUGGUUGAACUUGAGUUUGUGUCGUGUUUGAUCUUGAGUUCUUGUUGUUUGUUGAACUUGAGUUUGUGUGUUUUUUGAACUUGAGUUUUUGUCAUGUUUGAACUUGAGUUUGUGGUGUUUUUGAACUUAGGUUUGUGGCAAUUGUUAAACUUGAGAUUUGGGUGUUGGUUGAACUUGGGUUUGUGGUGUUUUUGAACUUGAGUUUGUGUCUUUGUUGAACUUGAGUUUGUGGUGUGUUUUAACUUGAGUUUCUGUUGUUUUUGAACUUGAGGUUGUGGAAAUUGUUGAACUUGAGAUUUGGGAUUUGGUUGAACUUGACUUUGUUUCAUGUUUGAACUUCAGUUUGGGGUGUUUUUGAACUUGAGCUUGUGUGUUUUUUGAACUUGAGUUUGUGUUGUUAAGAACUUGAGUUUGUGGUGUUUUUGAACUUGAGGAUUGUGUGUUUGUUGAACUUGAGUUUGUCUCGUGUUUGAACUUGAGUUUCGGUUGUUUUUGAACUUGAGGUUGUGGAAAUUGUUAAACUUGAGAUUUGGGUUUUGGUUGAACUUAAAACUUUUACAUUUGUUGAACUUGAGUUUGUGGCGUGUUUGAACUUGAGUUUCUGUUGUUUUUGAACUUGCGGUUUUGGAUAUAUUUUAAUUUGAGAUUUGAGUGUUGGUUGAACUUGACUUUGUCAUGUUUGAACUUGAGUUUGUGGUGUUUUUGAACUAGAGUUUGUGUGUUUUUUGAACUUAAGUUUUCUGUCAAUUGUUGAACUUGAGUUUAUUGUUUUUAGUGAACUUUACUUGGUGGCAGUUGUUGAAUUUGAGUUUGUGGGGUUUGUUGAACUUGAGCAUGUGUCGUGUUUGAACUUGAGUUUGUGGUGUUUUUGAACUUGAGUCUGUGUUGCUUUUGAACUUGAGGUUGUGGAAAUUGUCAAACUUGAGAAUUGGGUAUUGGCUGUACUUGAGUUUUUGAACUUGAGUUUGUGUCAUGUUUGAACUUGAGUUUGUUGUGUGUUUAUACUUGAGUUGAUUUGUUUGAUGAAUUUUAGGUUGUGGCAUUUGUUAAAUUUGAGAUUUGAGUGUUGGUUCAACUUGAGUUUGUGUCGUGUUUGAACUUGAGUUCGUGUUGUUUGUUGAACUUGAGUUUGUGUGUUUUUUGAAAUUGAGGUUGUGAAAAUUUAUAAACUUGAGAAUCAGGUGUUGGUUGAACUUGAGUUUGUGUCGUGUUUGAACUUGAGUUUGUGGUGUAUUUGAACUUGAGUUCGUGUGUUUGUUGAACUUGAGGUUGUGGCAAUUGUAAAACUUGAGAUUUGUGUGUUGGUUGUACUUGAGUUUGUGUGUUUUUUAACUUGAGUUUGUGGAGUUUUUGAACUUGACUUUCUGUGUUUUUUGAACUUGAGUUUGUAUGUUUUUUGAACUUGAGUUUGUGUUGUGUUUGAACUUGAAUUUGUGGUAUUUUUGAACUUGAGUUUUUUUUCAUAUUUAAACUUGAGUUUGUGGCGUGUUUGAACUUGAGUUUGUGGUGUUUUUGAACUUGAGGGUGUGUAAUUUUUUGAACUUGAGGUUGUGGGAAUUGUUAAACUUGAGUUUGUGUGUUUGUUGAACUUGAGUUUGUGUCGUGUUUGAACUUGAGUAUGUGUGUUUGUUGAACUUGAGUUUGUCUCGUGUUUGAACUUGAGUUUCUGUUGUUUUUGAACUUGAGGUUGUGGAAAUGGUUAAACUUGAGAAUCAGGUGUUGGUUGAACUUGAGUUGCGUGUUUGUUGAACUUGAGUUUGUGCCGUGUUUGAACUGGAGUUUGUGUCGUUUUUGAUCUUGAGUUUGUGUGUUUGUUGAACUUGAGUUUGUGUUGUGUUUGAACUUGAGUUUGUCUCGUGUUUGAACUUGAGUUUGUGUCGUGUUUGGUGAACUUGAGAUUGUGUGAUUAUUGAACUUGAGUUUCUGUUGUUUUUGAACUUGAGGUUGUGGAAAAGGUUAAAUUUGAGAAUCAGGUUUUGGUUGAACUUGAGUUGCGUGUUUGGUGAACUUGAGUUUGUAUUGUCUUUGAACUUGAGUUUUUGGUGUUUUUGAACUUGUGUUUGUGUGUUUUUGAACUUGAGUUUGUGUGUUUGUUGAACUUGAGUUUGUGUUUUUUUUUAACUUGAGUUUGUGGUGUUUUUGAACUUGACCUUGUUUCGUUUUUGAACUUGAGUUUGUGGCAUUUGUUGAACUUGACUUUGUGUUGUGUUUGUACUUUAGUUUUUGGUGUUUUUGAACUUGAGUUUCUGUUUUUUUUUAACUUGAGGUUGUGGAAAUUGCUAAACUUGAGAAUUGGGUAUUGGUUGAACUUGAGUUUUUUGUGUUUUUGAACUUGAGUUUGUGUUGUUUUUUAAUUGAGUUUGUGGUGUUUUUGAACUUGAAUUUGGGUAUUUGGUGAACUUGAGUUUUUGUUUUUUGAACUUGAGUUUCUGUUUUUUUUUAACUUGAAGUUGUGGAAAUUGUUAAACCUUAGAAUCAGGUGUUGGUUGAACUUGAGAUUGUGUGUUUCUUGAACUUGAGUUUGUGUCGUGUUUGAACUUGAGUUUAUGGUGAUUUUGAACUUGAGUUUGUGGUGUUUUUUAACUUAAGUUGGUUUUGUGUUUGAACUUGAGUUUGUGUCGUGUUUGAACUUGAGUUUGUGGUGUUUUUGAACUUGAGGUUGUUGAAAUUGUUAAACUUUAGAAUUGGGUAUUGGUUGAACUUGAGUUUGUGAUUUUGUUGAACUUGAGUUUGUGUCGUGUUUUAACUUGAGUUUGUGAUGUUUUUGAAUUUGAGUUUGUGUGUUGGUUGAACUUGAGUUUGUGUUGUGUUUGACCUUGAGUUUGUGGUGUUUUUGAACUUAAGUUUGUUUCGUGUUUGAACUUGAGUUCUUGUCAUGUUUGAACUUGAGUUUGUGGUGUUUUUGAACUUGAGUUUGUGGUGUGUUUGAACUUGAGUUUGUGUGUUUUGUUGAACUUAAGGUUGUUGCAAUUUUUAAACUUGAGAUUUGGGAAUUUGUUAAACUUGAGUUAUUGUGUUUGUUGAACUUGAGAUCGUGUCGUGUUUGAACUUGAGUUUGUGGUGUUUUUGAACUUGAGUUUGUGUGUUUGUUGAACUUGAGUUUGUGUUGUGUUUGAACUUGAGUUUGUGUUGUUUUUGAGCUUGAGUGUGUGGUGUUUUUGAACUUGAGUUUAUGAUAUUUUUGAACUUGAGGUUGUGGAAAUUGUUUAACCUGAGAAUUGAGUAUUGUUUGAACUUGAGUUUUUUUGUUUUUGAACUUGAGUUUGUGUCGUGUUUAAACUUGAGUUUGUCGUGUGUUUGAACUUGAGUUUGUGUGUUUUUUGAACUUGAGGUUGUGGCAAUUGUUAAGCUUGAGAUUUGGGUGAUCGUUGAACUUUAGUUUGUGUCGUGUUUGAACUUUAGUUAAUGUUGUUUGUUUAACUUGAGUUUGUCUGUUUUUUUAACUUGAGGUUUUGAAAUUUUUUAAACUUGAGAUUUGGGUAUUGGUUGAACUUGAGUUAGUGUGUUUGUUGAACUUGAGUUCGUGUCGU